rnacentral:pre_miRNA from 1 species
GUUAUUGCGUCGAUCAAUGCAUUGAAAGUGACUACAUCGGGGCUUGUUUUUUGUUUUUCUCAGCUUUGAUCAAUUUGAUGAAGAGGAAAAUUAGCCACGGUGUAAUCACUUUCACUGCGUUAAUCAAUGCAUU